ACCCACCCAAGAUAACUUGGGUAUCGUUACAUGAAUACAUAGUGUAACGAGGCGAACCGGGAGAACUGAAACAUCUAAGUACCCCGAGGAAAAGAAAUCAACCGAGAUUCCCUCAGUAGCGGCGAGCGAACGGGGAUUAGCCCUUAAGCAUCUUGGAAGUUAGUGGAACGGUCCUGGAAAGGCCGGCGAUACAGGGUGAUAGCCCCGUACACGAAAACAACCUUGAUGUGAAAUCGAGUAGGGCGGGACACGUGACAUCCUGUCUGAAUAUGGGGGGACCAUCCUCCAAGGCUAAAUACUCCUGACUGACCGAUAGUGAACCAGUACCGUGAGGGAAAGGCGAAAAGAACCCCUGUGAGGGGAGUGAAAUAGAACCUGAAACCGUGUACGUACAAGCAGUGGGAGCCCUUCGGGGUGACUGCGUACCUUUUGUAUAAUGGGUCAGCGACUUACAUUUUGUAGCGAGGUUAACCGUAUAGGGGAGCCGUAGGGAAACCGAGUCUUAACUGGGCGUCUAGUUGCAAGGUGUAGACCCGAAACCGGGUGAUCUAGCCAUGGGCAGGUUGAAGGUUGAGUAACAUCAACUGGAGGACCGAACCCACUAACGUUGCAAAGUUAGGGGAUGACCUGUGGCUGGGGGUGAAAGGCCAAUCAAACUCGGAGAUAGCUGGUUCUCCCCGAAAGCUAUUUAGGUAGCGCCUCGGACGAAUACUACUGGGGGUAGAGCACUGUUUGGGCUAGGGGGUCAUCCCGACUUACCAACCCCAUGCAAACUCCGAAUACCAGUAAGUACUAUCCGGGAGACACACGGCGGGUGCUAACGUCCGUCGUGAAGAGGGAAACAACCCAGACCGCCGGCUAAGGUCCCAAAGUUCUGGUUAAGUGGGAAACGAUGUGGGAAGGCUCAGACAGCUAGGAUGUUGGCUUAGAAGCAGCCAUCAUUUAAAGAAAGCGUAAUAGCUCACUAGUCGAGUCGGCCUGCGCGGAAGAUGUAACGGGGCUCAAACCAGGCACCGAAGCCGCGGAUUCACACUUAUGUGUGAGUGGUAGGGGAGCGUUCUGUAAGUCUGCGAAGGUGUAUCGAGAGGUAUGCUGGAGAUAUCAGAAGUGCGAAUGCUGACGUAAGUAACGAUAAAGGGGGUGAAAAGCCUCCUCGCCGGAAGACCAAGGGUUCCUGUCCAACGUUAAUCGGGGCAGGGUGAGUCGACCCCUAAGGUGAGGCCGAAAGGCGUAAUCGAUGGGAAGCAGGUUAAUAUUCCUGCACGACUUGUAAUUGCGAUGGGGGGACGGAGAAGGCUAGGUGGGCCAGGCGACGGUUGUCCUGGUGAAAGUGCGUAGGCGGUACCUUUAGGUAAAUCCGG
rnacentral:rRNA from 1 species